CCUUCCCUCAAAAGGAAAACCCUAUCCCCCCAUCUCUCACCUCACUCUCACAUAUAUUCAUUCUCCUCUACUCACACAUACAAAUUCCCCCAGACUCUUCUCACACAGGAUUUUAACAUCACUUUCACUCUCACACACGUAGAACUCACAGUCCAAAUAGCUAAAACAAAAGUUUUUGAAUUGAAAUUGAAGCUCAGAUCUGAAAUAGGAAAAAUAUCAAAAAACAAAGAGAGAAAACAAAAACAAAACAGCGUAAAAGAGGGAUUUCUGUCGCUGUGGAAUUGCAGUUUAUUUGCUCUCAUAUUCUUGGUUCUAACAGGUUAAAAUCCUCGCGAUUUACUGCUGAUUACUGGCCGUGAUUGUUGGCUGAGCUUCGCCCCAUUCCCUUCCUCCACAGUUUUGUUGAAGUCAGUUAUUUUUUCUUUGUCCAUCAAGGGUUUGGUCAACAAGGUGACAAUUCGUCAAAACCAGCUCAAAAAGGAGUGAAACAUGCACAAGUACCAAGAACAAAUCCAAGCACAGUAUAACCUGAUGCGGUCGCACUCCAUUCUGUGCGGUCCGCAAAGAGGAGGUUCAGAGAUUUCUCAAUUCAGACAUUCAAGCAAUGCGGCCGCAAAGCAUUUCAUGCAGACCGCAUUGGCUUCAUUGCGGCCGCACUCGAUUUUGUGCGGUUCACAAAGCUAGAGUUCAGAGAGUUGCUAAUUUUGAGAAUAUUUCCAAUGCGGUCCGCGGUCCUUUUUGUGCGGACCGCAAUAGAAGCCACCGCGGCCGUGGUGUAUUUUGUGCGGCCCGCGGUGGCCAAGUUCUGAGAAUAAAAGUUUCAAGCUAAGAGCCUUAGUGCGACCGCACUCGAUUUUUUGCGGUUCGCACUAGCCCCGCAGGAGUAUUUUUGUCCAGAAAAUUUGGCAUAGUAUAAAUAGUUUCUUUUCCCAUUUUUAGGUAAUCAGUUGGAUUGUAGACAGCAGCUGCGCUCGUGAACAAUGUUCUAUUACUAUUUUGAGUAAUUUUACAAUAGUUUUAUCAUUGAA